GGGGCCGACUGGUAUCGACCGGAUGGUUUCGGUCUGGUGUCGCACGUCGAGGUGCACGUAGGCCUCGUUAAAAAACGUGCAAAAAAAUUAAUUGCCGACGAUACACAAAUCGUUGGUCGAAUCGGGUUCGACUCGGAUCCGGUUCGCCUGGCUGCUUAAAUAGUGUCCUCGUCCCUCGCCUGGCUCUUAUGUGGACGGCGCGUGGCGCAAGAUCAGCAGACUCGUCCAAAGGCGUCGCCCAGGCUCCCGCGGAU
rnacentral:tmRNA from 1 species